AACCCUAAACUGAAUUUUUCCUUUAGUCAGCAUUAGGGUUUUAAACCCUAAACUGAACUUUUUCCUUUCAGUCAGCAUUAGGGUUUUAAACCCUAAACUGAAUUUUCCCUUUAGUCAGCAUUAGGGUUUUAAACCUAAACUGAACUUUUUCCAUUUAGUCAGCGUUAGGGUUUUAAACCCUAAACUGAACUUUACCAUUCAGUCAGCAUUAGGGUUUUAAACCCUAAACUGAACUUUUCCUUUAGUCAGCAUUAGGGUUUUAAACCCUAAACUGAACUUUUUCCUUUCAGUCAGCAUUAGGGUUUUAAACCCUAAACUGAAUUUUCCCUUUAGUUAGCAUUAGGGUUUUAAACCCUAAACUGAACUUUUCCAUUUAGUCAGCGUUAGGGUUUUAAACCCUAAACUGAACUUUACCAUUCAGUCAGCAUUAGGGUUUUAAACCCUAAACUGAACUUUUUCAUUCAGUCAGCAUUAGGGUUUUAAACCCUAAACUGAUUUUUUCCUUUCAGUCAGCAUUAGGGUUUUAAAACCCUAAACUGAAUUUUUCCAUUCAGUCAGCAUUAGGGUUUUAAAACCCUAAACUGAAUUUUUCCUUUAGUCAGCAUUAGGGUUUUAAACCCUAAACUGAACUUUUUUCAUUCAGCCAGCAUUAGGGUUUUAAACCCUAAACUGAGCUUUUCCAUGCAAUCAGCAUUAAGGUUUUAAACCCUAAACUAAAUUUUUCCUUUAGUCAGCAUUAGGGUUUUA
rnacentral:lncRNA from 1 species